CUGCCCGUGGCACAGCUGGAUAGCGCGUGAGACUCCGACUCUCAAGGUCGCAGGUUCGAAUCCUGUCGGGCAGGCCA
rnacentral:tRNA from 1 species